UGCGUCCUACGCCGAGUGGUUCAGCGUCGGGGAUCUAGGCUCCGAGGACCGAGCGCUAAUCGUCCUCCCGCUGUUCCACGUCGGCGGGACCGGC
rnacentral:tRNA from 1 species